AUUGAACGCUGGCGGAAUGCUUUACACAUGCAAGUCGAACGGCAGCACGGGGCAACCUGGUGGCGAGUGGCGAACGGGUGAGUAAUACAUCGGAACGUGCCCAAUCGUGGGGGAUAACGUAGCGAAAGUUACGCUAAUACCGCAUACGAUCUACGGAUGAAAGCGGGGGAUCGCAAGACCUCGCGCGAAUGGAGCGGCCGAUGUCAGAUUAGGUAGUUGGUGGGGUAAAGGCUCACCAAGCCGACGAUCUGUAGCUGGUCUGAGAGGACGACCAGCCACACUGGGACUGAGACACGGCCCAGACUCCUACGGGAGGCAGCAGUGGGGGAAUUUUUGGGACAAUGGGCGGCAAGCCUGAUCCAGCCAUUCCGCGUGCAGGAUGAAAGGCCUCGGUU
rnacentral:rRNA from 1 species